rnacentral:rRNA from 1 species
UACAGAGGGUGCAAGCGUUAAUCGGAAUUACUGGGCGUAAAGCGCGCGUAGGUGGUUUGUUAAGUUGGAUGUGAAAGCCCCCGGGCGUCAACCUGGGAACGUGCAUUCAAAACUAGACAAGCUAGAGUAUGGUAGAGGGUGGUGGAAUUUCCUGUGUAGCGGUGAAAUGCGUAGAUAUAGGAAGGAACACCAGUGGCGAAGGCGACCACCUGGACUGAUACUGACACUGAGGUGCGAAAGCGUGGGGAGCAAACAGGAUUAGAUACCCCCGUAGU